UGGGCUCGGGAGUUAUGAGUGCUACGAGGCCCAAACAUCUCUGAAUGAGCUGCAGAUGGAGGUGACGCAUAAGGUUGAUUCACGCUGACUCUCUAGGUGAGAAAUUGUCAGAGAAACCAACUCCAGACGAGCUCGAUGAGGUGCCGAUUCGAACCCUGUAGUCGUUGUGUGCCAUCGCCUGGGAGUCGCCCUGGUGCAGGUGGAGGUGCCGAGCAGACAUGGAUGCGUGUGAGUCAGAGGAGAAGAUGACCAGGGCAUCUUCAGUGAGAGGUUGUAGAACUCCCCUGAUGGUGGCUAGCUCCACAUGCCUUGUUGGUUUUUCUCCUCCCAGCAGAUGAGUGCCUCUCUCUCCUCUUAGCAUUUUUUCUGAUUGUGUUGAAAUUGAUUUUAAUUUUCUGUCAUUGAGCAUCUCCUGGAUAUUGUCAAAGGAAGGAUGUAGAAUAAGCAGUAUUCAGAUAUUUAAUGUACAUGGACCUGAACCUGCACAUCAAAAUUGUGAUGUUGGUAACAAAAAUGAUGAUAUUUCUUCCUGAAGAUUUUGAGUUAUGUGUUACCAGUGAAUUGGAUAUCAGAAGCCUGAUAGUGUAAGGAAUUUAAUCGAGAGACAAUGUAAAAUGAGAUUGUAGAGGGAUUGUCCAGGCUAGAAAGAAAGGAUGGAGGCCAAGAAGAGUUUGUGAUGGUCACGGAAUAAGAAGUUUUCUAGAAAGAGUUUUCUUUGUAUUUACGAUUUACUCCUUUUGGAAAUGUUAGCAGGUAACCUGGUGCUCUGGUUUUGCAUACUAGGUAUGCUAUAUUGUUUGCAAGAAAUGGAUGAAAGUGAGUUCAGUACAUCAAAGGUUAAAUUGGUGUGUAUGUCAUGUGCUCUGCCGGUGUGACAAAUCGAGGUACAACAUUCUUGCAAAUGAAAAAAAUAUCCCGCUGUAUUUAUUGAAGCCCAAGGUUGCAAUGGAGCCUUUUACGGUAUAGUUGGAGCAAAUUAUUACAGCUAAAAUUCUUGUAUCACUGCAGGUGGCAUUUCAUCAUCUACUGAAAUUGAUUCAUGUUGGCACAUUAUUACUUGCAUGUUGGCACAUUAUUACUUACAGCUAAAAUCCUUAAUCCCAAUUGUUCUGUAGUGUGAGACAAUUUAUUCAUGUUGGCACAUUAUUGCUUGCAUCGGUCUAAUAGUCUAUGUGUGGCCCUCAUGAUGUCAUGAGAAAAUUUACUUAUUUGUUGAUCUUGAGUUCACUCUAUUCUAUCUAUUGAGUAGUCUUGGUUCAAAGCUUUAUUUCACUAUUUUUCAAACAAUUUCUCUAUUAGCCUAUUUAGUCAUACAGCAUGGUUAAAGUUAUUUACAAUACAAAUUGUAAUGAAUGUAUCAGUUUCGUGGAUUAACUUUAAGAUCUUCUAGGUAAAAGCUUAGCGUGUUGUAUAUAAUCUAUUUUGUACAAAUUUAGCUCGAGUCGAUUUUACAAUGAUUUGUAUAUAAACUAUUUUGAGAGAUUAGAGAUUGCUCAGGUAACUAUUUGAAGUACCACAAGAUGAACUCAUUGAUUAGAGAUAGAGAUUAGAGAUGGCUCAGGCAUACUUGCCAUACUAUUUAGAAAAGCUCAUUGGGAGUCCAGAGAUGAGGUACUGAGGAGGUACUGCGUUAACCAGUAAACUUUUGAAGUCUUCUUACAUAGUUAUUAGUAAGAUUAUCGGAAUCUUUUUAAAUAGUUAUUAGUAUAAACAUAAGUUUAUCUUACAUUGUUUGCUUGCUCUAUUUUUGUGCAUGGAACAAGUUUACAGAUGUACUUUAUGACAUGGCAAAGAGGUCCGAGAGCCUUUGUUGAAAUAGCAUACCAACUAAUAUCUAUACUCAGGAGCAAUAUGAGUCAUUCCCAAUACCUUUUAAACUAUGCAACUUAUAUGAUAAAACUUGCUCGCCGGAAAAGUAUGAAACACUGCUUGGCUCUCUUCUCGCCGAGGCUUGUAUCUGUUGUGUCCUUUUAUAACAAAGUAGUAUUUUGGUAAUUAACCUUGUAGCUGCUCUCUUCAAAAUAAAGUUUUGUUUACUGUAGUGAGAUAACCCAUGUGUAUUCAUCUUGGAUAAUAUUGUUUCUCCUAAAUGACAACUUAAUUUAUACAUGAACUUAACUAUAGUUUGCCUUUUUUAUAUGUUAAUUAAGAAGUUAGUGAAUGCACGGAAGGAUCACCUGAAAGUUCUGAUAAAUCGCUGCAUAUAUUAUUCACCUGAAAGGAUAAAGUAAAAAGUGGGACAAAUGUUUCGCCAGGAACGUGGACGAGCUUCCUCCUAAAUGCCUCGAGAACAACCCCACUGAUCUCAUUGUUGUACUGUGUCUGCUUCACUUCGCCCCGGGAGGAUUUUGAGGUGAAGUAGUUGAGGAGCAUGAUCCAGCUAUAGAGAUCGCCGAAGAAGACAUAUAGAAGGUGUAUGGUAGCACUUUGACAAUGUUUUUGAAACUGGAGGUGAAGAUGAGGUGUCGAGCAAUUGAAGUAAUUCCUGAAAGAUCUAGAGAUAGUUUCAUGCCUUAAGGAGAUUUUGUUAUAAACGAAUGCUUUUUUUUAUUGGUGUCGUGACUUGUGAUGACCAAUGAUUU